AGAGUUUGAUCCUGGCUCAGAUUGAACGCUGGCGGCAUGCCUUACACAUGCAAGUCGAACGGCAGCACGGGGGUAACUCUGGUGGCGAGUGGCGAACGGGUGAGUAAUAUAUCGGAACGUGCCCAGGAGUGGGGGAUAACGUAGCGAAAGUUACGCUAAUACCGCAUACGAUCUGAGGAUGAAAGUGGGGGACGUGCUUGCACGCCUCAUGCUCAUGGAGCGGCCGAUAUCUGAUUAGCUGGCUGGUGGGGUAAAAGCCUACCAAGGCGACGAUCAGUAGCUGGUCUGAGAGGACGACCAGCCACACUGGAACUGAGACACGGUCCAGACUCCUACGGGAGGCAGCAGUGGGGAAUUUUGGACAAUGGGCGAAAGCCUGAUCCAGCAAUGCCGCGUGUGUGAAGAACGCCUUCGGGUUGUAAAGCACUUUUGUCAUGAACGAGACGGUUUGGGCUAAUAUCCUGAGCUAAUGACGGUACCUGAAGAAUAAGCACCGGCUAACUACGUGCCAGCAGCCGCGGUAAUACGUACGGGUGCAAGCGUCAAUCGGANUUACUGGGCGUACAGCGUGCGCUGGCAGGUAAUGUACGUCCGAUGUGAAAUCCAUGGGCUCAGCAUGGGACUGCAUUUGAGACUGCAUGGCUCCAGUGUGUCGCACGUGGCUAGAAUUNACGUGCAGCAGUGCAAUGCGUAAAGAUGUGAACGACCUCGAUGGCUAAAGCUGCAUCCUGUGAUGACUCUGACCCCCAUGCACUAAAGCCUGGGAUCCAACCUGGAAUGCAAUACCUGGGUAGAU
rnacentral:rRNA from 1 species